rnacentral:rRNA from 1 species
AAGAUUAAGCCAUGCAUGUCUAAGUAUAAGCAAUUAUACAGCGAAACUGCGAAUGGCUCAUUAUAUAAGUUAUCGUUUAUUUGAUAGUACCUUACUACUUGGAUAACCGUGGUAAUUCUAGAGCUAAUACAUGCUAAAAAUCCCGACUUCGGAAGGGAUGUAUUUAUUAGAUUAAAAACCAAUGCCCUCCGGGGCUCACUGGUGAUUCAUGAUAACUUCUCGAAUCGCAC